rnacentral:rRNA from 1 species
GUGGGGAAUAUUGGACAAUGGGCGAAAGCCUGAUCCAGCCAUGCCGCGUGUGUGAAGAAGGUCUUCGGAUUGUAAAGCACUUUAAGUUGGGAGGAAGGGCAGUAAGUUAAUACCUUGCUGUUUUGACGUUACCGACAGAAUAAGCACCGGCUAACUUCGUGCCAGCAGCCGCGGUAAUACGAAGGGUGCAAGCGUUAAUCGGAAUUACUGGGCGUAAAGCGCGCGUAGGUGGUUUUGUAAGUUGGAGGUGAAAUCCCCGGGCUCAACCUGGGAACUGCCUCCAAAACUGCAUGACUAGAGUACGGUAGAGGGUAGUGGAAUUUCCUGUGUAGCAGUGAAAUGCGUAGAUAUAGGAAGGAACACCAGUGGCGAAGGCGACUACCUGGACUGAUACUGACACUGAGGUGCGAAAGCGUGGGGAGCAAACAGGAUUAGAAACCCGUGUAUCC